CACCAGGUUGAUUCUGCCUGACGUAGAUGCUAGCCUCGGAGAUUAAGCCAUGCAUGCCCGUGAAGAAGGGAACGGCGAACGGCUCAGUAAUACCGCGACGAUCUGCUCUCCGCGAGCGAUAACCACGGGAAACUGUGGCUAAGAGCGGAGAUUGAGACGCGGUCCUAUCAGCUUGUUGGUAGUGUAAUGGACUACCAAGGCGGUGACGGGUGGCGGGGGAUCGGGGUCCGACUCCGGAGAGGGAGCCUGAGAGAUGGCUCCCACGUCCAAGGACGGCAGCAGGCGCGGAAAUUGCCCACUCUCGCGUGAGGAGGCAGUUACGAGGCGUGGCGAAGGACGCACGGUAAAACGGUGUGUGAAGGCGAUUGGAGGGCAAGUUCGGUGCCAGCAGCCGCGG
rnacentral:rRNA from 1 species